GGGGGUGAAAAGGGCUCGACUUAAUCAAGCAGGGCAAGAAUAGCAUGCCGCGGAGGCAAGGUUGGCCGCGUUAACAAUCCUUGCAAAAUAUAAACGCAAACUACAAUAUGGUAGGGUUAAGGUCAGUAAUGCCAGCAAUGGCGCCAAUGGCUUUAGCCGGCGUCCAAGUCCCGCUCUAUAAUUAAAUAGGGCAGGCCUCGAUUAACCUUGUCUGGGGGUUAAGUAGAGCGGUUAACAGACUGGUUUCGCGCUUUCGCCUUGAAGCGCGAAAUAAGAGCUAAAGGCUGCUUCUUGAAAUAAUCCUGCCUGUCGGAGUUUUCAGGAUUAAGCUUAAAAGACAGACUAAGCAUGUAGCGAUUUUUGUUCGAUUGUUUAAGGACCGGGGUUCGAUUCCCCGCACCUCCACCA
rnacentral:tmRNA from 1 species